AUGGACGCAACAGAAGGUAGCCCUGGCGCUGGCCUGCCACGGCCAUCCGAGUUUGACUUCAUGUUCACCGACAAGGGGUGGGCCUUGCUGUCCGAGGAGAGACGCCGCUCAAUCAUAGGAGUUCUGGAUCAGGACAGAGAAGAGAAGACCCGCCUCCAAGAGCGCCGUCAGUCCCGAUCCCGGAAGGACCGCCGCAAGGAUCCUCGGCCGGACAAACAGAUACACCCUAGUAAGAGCCUCGACCCUAACCUGUCCAGAGAUAAUGGUGGUUUUCUAAGUCUGAGCUACCCUGCACGGGGCAUAUCUGCAAUGGGCUGCCUGAUUGAAAUUGAUAUAAAGAUCAAGGGCAAGGAAGUUGACAAAGAUUUGUCAAUUAUUGAUGGAUCUGUGAAAGCCUUUGGGCAGUUUGACUCGACAACGGCUAACCAUGUUGAUAACGUCAAUGGUAAAAUUAUAUUCAAGACACAUGUUGUUCGUAAAGGUGUUGAGGCAACUAUAGACCUCGAUUUUGUGGAGGUGCCAAUUGCCAACAGGCGGCUUCAAUGUGCUGAUGCGUGCCAAAACUGUCCGUGGUAA
rnacentral:rRNA from 1 species